rnacentral:tRNA from 1 species
UGGCGUGUGGCUCAGUGGUAGUAGCGGCUCCCUGUUAAGGAGAAGGUCGCAGGUUCGAAUCCUGCCGCGCCAG